GCAAAGCCAAAUCCACAACAAUUAGCAAGGCCUUCUCUGCAAUGGGCGACAGUAUCACUCUAUGAACUGAAAGCCACUCUCAUCAAUGGACAAAAACAACUCUCCUCAAUUGGAAAUAUUUCUCAGCAAGAGACUUAAAUUUUUAGAAGACAAAGAUGAGCACAAAAAGAUGGAGAUGAACACGAACAAGACACAUAUCUUGACUUUCAAAAUUCCAUGAAUUUGGAUAAGGAUGUAUGUGAGAAAGUAAAGAAGUACAUAUUUGAAACGCAUCUGUUGGAAACAAAGAUUGUUAAAUUAUGCAUAUUUAGGGAUGAAGUGCCUCAAAAGAUGGAAUAAAAGGACAAGAGAGGAUCUUCUCUUUCAUUCAAAAUAGAUCGGCCUAACUUGAUUGGUUUUUCGUUUUGCGCUGUUUGUGAUCCCGAAAAUUAUUUGGGUGAUGA